rnacentral:rRNA from 1 species
CCCUUAGAUGUUCUGGGCCGCACGCGCGCUACACUGAUGAAUUCAACGAGCACUAACCUGUGCCGAAAGGUUCGGGUAAUCUUGUGGAAUUUCAUCGUGAUGGGGAUUGAUUAUUGCAAUUUUUAAUCAUAAACGAGGAAUGCCUAGUAAGCGUGAGUCAUCAGCUCACGUUGAUUACGUCCCUGCUCUUUGUACACACCGCCCGUCGCUCCUACCGAUUGAAUGUGCCAGUGAAAAGUUAGGAUUGGGCGUGGGAGACGGCAACGUAUUCCACAUCCGAGAAAAUCUUUAAACUUUCCCAUUUAGAGGAAGGAGAAGUCGUAACA